GGAUGGUUGACCGAGUGGCCGAAGGUAGCAGUCUUGAAAACUGUAGCGUCCGUAAGGGCGCCGGGGGUUCAAAUCCCUCACCAUCCGCGA
rnacentral:tRNA from 1 species